CCUACGGGAGGCAGCAGUGAGGAAUAUUGGUCAAUGGGCGCGAGCCUGAACCAGCCAAGUAGCGUGAAGGAUGACGGCCCUACGGGUUGUAAACUUCUUUUAUAAGGGAGUAAAGUGAGGCACGUGUGCCUUUUUGUGUGUACUUUAUGAAUAAGGAUCGGCUAACUCCGUGCCAGCAGCCGCGGUAAUACGGAGGAUCCGAGCGUUAUCCGGAUUUAUUGGGUUUAAAGGGUGCGUAGGUGGGUUGUUAAGUCAGUGGUGAAAGUUUGGGGCUCAACCGUAAAAUUGCAAUUGAAACUGGUGGUCUUGAGUGCAGUAGAGGUAGGCGGAAUUCGUGGUGUAGCGGUGAAAUGCGUAGAUAUCACGAAGAACUCCGAUUGCGAAGGCAGCUUAC
rnacentral:rRNA from 1 species